CAGAUUAUCCUCACAGAAAUGAUAAUGGGGUUCUGUGUUCACAGCUGAGUUAUUUAAACUGUCUGAUUUGGUCCACAGCUUCCUUGGACAUUAAUAGGUUGACUGCUAUGUCGCUGAACUUAGUGCAUGAAAGGUCAGCCUUUGAAACGCUAAAUAAGUUGAAGAGGAUGUAGAAAAUAUAUCACAUAUGGGAAAGUGUGCAUCCUACAGUGGCAUUUGUGUUAAAGGGCCACUUUGUGGGAGAAUACAGGCUACAGACCCCGCCACAGGAGUGCCAGUCUGUGAUGAUUAAAUUACAGCUACUGGUCAAGAAGGAGAAAUGAAAUCAAGGAAAAUGGAUCUGGGGGACCUAUAACACAUUCAAAACUGAAGACCUUCAUGAAACACUAUCAAUUUAUUUCCUCCAAAGGCUUCAGCAGAAGGGACAGCUACUCAGAGUACCAACUUUUUUCCAGCAAAAGAAGGAUUAACUCUGACCAAGGUCAGAGCAACCAGUCACCAAUAUUCUUCAUGGGAGAGUCAGGCCUCCUGCAUCCCCAGGAAAUAUCACCUGAAAUAGCCACCUAUACGCAGGAGUUUAACGGGGAAUUUUGCAGUGUCAGAAAUGUGUGGCAUUCUGAAAAGUCUAGUGGAGCCAUAAGACAAUUAUAUAGCAGCUUCCCCAGGUUUCUCAGUCUGAAGUGUGGGGGAGAUAAUAUGUUGUUAUGCUAGCCUACCUCACACUGCAUGUGAUAUUCAAUUAGCUGUUUGAAGUUGUAAAUUGUUGAGUGAUGAUAGAGCAUAACUUUUCAAAAUAAAUGGCAUCGUAUUUUUUGCACACUUUUUAAAGUGUACUGAAAUCUACCAGAAAGGGUUGUCUGACUUUGAUCUUUACUGUGCUUUAUUUUCAUGUUUGAUGGUUCUUCCCAUUUCCAAUACCAAAUGAUGGUCAUUUUCCAGCACUUCCAAUUUAUAGGCAAGACCUUGUAUAAUAAGAAAAAAAAAAAAUCAUUGUGUUGUCUUGGCAUUUCUUUUUCAGCUGACAACACUGAGUACUUGCUGAUUUGAAUACCUUUUCAGAUAUAGGAAAGUCAACAUUUGAGAACAUGAAGAGUCCCUGUUUUGCAAAUCUUUAGUGUUAAAGGGAUAAAGAAAACCCUGUUACAUUUGAAUUCAACUGUUGGAAUGUUUUUAAGUACUUCAGAUUUAAUUUUGCUGAAUAGAACAUAGUACAGAAGACAUAAAGUUUAAAAUCAUCAUGGCUAAAAAACGUUCUGUUGGCAAAUUAAUAUUGGGUAAACAUCCUUGUAUCAAGCAGUACCAGGACAGAUAGUCUUUUUCAUGUGUGACAUUUUUGAUUCUGUGAUGAUAGUCUUUUUCAUGUGUGACAUUUUUGAUUCUGUGAUGAUCAUUUUAGAUUAUAUUUCUCCACUCUAGAGUAGACAUUUGACUCUGUCCUGUACAGGGAGUCUCUUUUUGUCAUUAGGAAAUCACUUUAUUAUGCUUUGAUUUUCAUCUCCAUUAUAUCCUGAGAGAUACAGUCAGCAGAUGAUGCUACAGAAAGCUAGCCAAGACUUCAUUUACACAAACAAAUAUCAGAAGUGACAUCAGAAUUAGAGAUUUAGGUUGUGAUAUAAUAAAACUCGCAUAAGUUAUUACAUUAGCAUUAAGCCUGUAUUUGAGCGCAUGUUAAACCUUAGACUAGUGUAGGAGAGACGAGAAUCUGGUCUGCUGUCUUGGAAAUGUAACUAAGAACUCAUGUAUUAUUAAAAAUAAAAUCAUUCUCUCUCUUUCUUCGAGUGGUUUGUGUGUCUGUUGAAGUACUUCAAGAUGACAGAAGAGAGAC